GACGAACGCUGGCGGCGUGCUUAACACAUGCAAGUCGUACGGUAAGGCCCUUUCGGGGGUACACGAGUGGCGAACGGGUGAGUAACACGUGAGUAACCUGCCCACAACUUUGGGAUAACGCUAGGAAACUGGUGCUAAUACUGGAUAUGUGCCCCUGCUGCAUGGUGGGGGUUGGAAAGCUCCGGCGGUUGUGGAUGGACUCGCGGCCUAUCAGCUUGUUGGUGGGGUAGUGGCCUACCAAGGCGGCGACGGGUAGCCGGCCUGAGAGGGUGACCGGCCACAUUGGGACUGAGAUACGGCCCAGACUCCUACGGGAGGCAGCAGUGGGGAAUAUUGCACAAGGGGCGCAAGCCUGAUGCAGCAACGCCGCGUGCGGGAUGACGGCCUUCGGGUUGUAAACCGCUUUCAGCAGGGACGAAGCUUUUUGUGACGGUACCUGCAGAAGAAGCACCGGCUAACUACGUG
rnacentral:rRNA from 1 species